GAUGAACGCUGGCGGCGUGCCUAAUACAUGCAAGUAGAACGCUGAAGCUUGGUGCUUGCACCGAGCGGAUGAGUUGCGAACGGGUGAGUAACGCGUAGGUAACCUGCCUGGAAGCGGGGGAUAACUAUUGGAAACGAUAGCUAAUACCGCAUAACAGUAGAUAUUGCAUGAUAUCUGCUUGAAAGGGGCAAUUGCUCCACUACCAGAUGGACCUGCGUUGUAUUAGCUAGUUGGUGAGGUAACGGCUCACCAAGGCGACGAUACAUAGCCGACCUGAGAGGGUGAUCGGCCACACUGGGACUGAGACACGGCCCAGACUCCCACGGGAGGCAGCAGUAGGGAAUCUUCGGCAAUGGACGGAAGUCUGACCGAGCAACGCCGCGUGAGUGAAGAAGGUUUUCGGAUCGUAAAGCUCUGUUGUAAGAGAAGAACGAGUGUGAGAGUGGAAAGUUCACACUGUGACGGUAACUU
rnacentral:rRNA from 1 species